CAUCCAUUGACUCUUGGUAUUUUGAAGGGACAGGAUGAGCUAAAGAAAUUAGUCUUGGUUAUUUACCAGUCUGUAAUUUAUUAGGCUGUAUCAUAGGCAGAGCUCCUCCUUUCAGAAUGAGAGCUGGAACGUUGAUGUUUCUCAUUUUGGAUGCUUAGACUGGGUGUAGAUACAGUUAUGCAGUAUUUCAUUAAAAAAAAAUAAAAAAAUUCCCGGGGAAGUGAAAGGCAGAAUAUGCACCCUUAAGACUGCAGUUUUGAGCCUUCAAGCGGAUGUUCAUUUAGAUUCCUGGUAAAAACCUGUCUAAAUCCUCCAGACCAAUGCAGGCUCCAUCCCCCAGUGAUGCUUACAUAACAUGAGGUGGAGUUCUGGCCCAAAACUUCAGCUUUUUUGCUAUGGUCCCAGGGAAAUCGAUUCAGAUCUUGAAGUCCAGCUGAACUCCACCCAAAUGGCCUGUCGGUAAGUGAACCUACUGAAAGGCUGGAAAGUCAAAGGGUAAGUAGAUGAUACUUUCACAUACACAGGUACUAAACUGGCUAAACGUCAGCAGUAACUCCUGAGAAAUCAUCACACCGAUUCUGAUUUGUCUUGCAUGUAUAUGAGUUUUCAGAUAUUUUGUUGAUCCUUGUCUGCACUGAGAUUGCCAAAAGCAUGAAGAAUAUAGAUUACUGCUGAAAUCUAUAUAGUGGAAUCUAUAUAGUGGAACACACCGAAAAUGUUGGGUUUUGCUGUCACUUGCUUCUUUUACUGUCAUGGGAAGCAUUUAGAGGAUGAAAAAAAAAAUGGAGAAAAGAAAAACAAAUGGGGAAGAAAGACUCCAUUUUUGCUUGAGAUCAGAAGAAGAAACAAAGAAGGAUUUGAAUACAAAAAUGCUGAAAUAUUCCCUUUUAAAGGAAGAGUAUUUUCAUUUUUGAAGAUGUUUGUAAGGAAGAAAAGCACAUUAAUUCUGUAUCCAAGACACCCAUGCAGGGGAGGGUGAACAUAGCACAGGGCCUGGCAGACACCUACCUGGAACAGAAACAUCAGAUGGGACCCUCCUGAACAUCUCAAAUGAAGAUUCUACAUAUCGAUACAGACGCUUAAGCUGAGAUCACAGUGAUGCCAAUUUCCACACCUGUCCCACAUACUGCCCCCUAUAUUUUGACACAUGAAUUUGCAAGAUGAAUUCCUGCCUGAAGGAUUAAUUCAAUUCCCUGAGCACAAUGCAUUAAUUGUUACUGAAAAUGACUUGGGUUCUCUUGCCUGACCUCCAGCUGCAGUUUGGGGAAGCACAGCUCUCUUGUAAAUCCUGUGUCAGUAUUGAAGACCACAACUUUCUUUGUAAGAAAGCAAAUAUCUUCUUUUCCUUCACCCAGUGUGCUCAAAGAGUACUGGAUUCUGAAAACUUUUAUAGGAAUAUCUUUGGUAUAGAUCAGAAAACUGGUAUAUUCCUGCUUUUACUUAUUUCCCAUUUGAAUCUUUUUUUAACUGUUUAAGAUAUCAGAAGAUGGGCUUCUUUCAGAUGACUCUCAGGAGACCAAAAAUAAGUUCAUGAUCCUGUGUGUAUUGCACUUUUGUUUAAUGAUAGUCACCCAUGGAACAAUCUGGGAACCUAAAAUUCGGUGUCUUGUGAUAUCUGAGGCACCUUUUGAUACCCAAGAUAUCUACACAGGGCUAAAAGAUGUGACACAAGACCAAGGGGAAACACAUGAUCAUCUAAGUUUGUAACUGGAGACUGAGUGGGAUAACUUUAGUCAUCUAAAAUAUAAUUAGAUUUCUGUGACUAGAUAGAUGAGUCAUUUCUGAGUAGAUGAAGAAGUUUUUUAUAGCUUGUGUUUUGCAGAUGGAGAGGAAAGGCCAAGGCAAAAGCCACAUCCAGCAUCAGCAAUGAAUUUUCUGGUAAAGUCAGGUGUCAAAUACAGAGCACUGGAGUCUCUCAGUUGUGGUUUGGCCAAGGUUUUGAGGCUGAAUUGUAUAUCCCAAGCACAAAAAAAGUUGUG
rnacentral:lncRNA from 1 species